AAAUCAUACCUGCUGAUGCCAUAGCCCAAUGUUUAGCGAAGUUCACUGGCCACCAGAUUUGUAGUGUUUGCUGCUCUUUAUAUGUGAUUUAUAUUCCAGGACGAAACCAGAAGUUUAGCAAUACGAAGGUGCCAACCAGAGGAAACUCUUCCAAUUCGGUGGUCGGUAGCAGCAUAGAAUCAUAACCCAAAGUUAGUAUACGUUGAGACUUCAUCAGUCGGAUCUUCAAACAUCACGUAAUCCCUUUAAAAUAGAGGUCUUCAAAAAAUUAAACAUAAUUAUGUGAGCGAAAUAACUCAAGUGGAGUUCACGACCUCAUCAAGAUUGCAACAAUAAGGACCUUCCACUUGUACAUGGGCUUGAAGUUCCCAAAGCAUAUUUUGUGCACAACAAACUCCCAAAAUUUCUUUGCAACUUUAAAUUUCUGAAAUUUAACUCCACUUGUUCAGUCUUUUGCUUCCCACAAUUGAAAUU
rnacentral:lncRNA from 1 species